rnacentral:rRNA from 1 species
AUUGAACGCUGGCGGUAGGCCUAACACAUGCAAGUCGAACGCGAAAGUCCUUCGGGAUGAGUAGAGUGGCGGACGGGUGAGUAACGCGUAGGAAUCUAUCCUGUAGUGGGGGAUAACGUUUCGAAAGGAACGCUAAUACCGCAUACGCCCCAAGGGGGAAAGCGGGGGAUCUUCGGACCUCGUGCUAUAGGAGGAGCCUGCGUCGGAUUAGCUAGUUGGUGAGGUAAAGGCUCACCAAGGCGACGAUCCGUAGCUGGUCUGAGAGGAUGAUCAGCCACACCGGAACUGAGACACGGUCCGGACUCCUACGGGAGGCAGCAGUGGGGAAUAUUGCGCAAUGGGCGAAAGUCCUGACGCAGCCAUACCGCGUGUGUGAAGAAGGCCUGGUU